CCGGGAAUUUUGGGCAAUGGGCGAAAGCCUGACCCAGCAACGCCGCGUGAGGGAUGAAGUAUUUCGGUAUGUAAACCUCGAAAGAAUGGGAAGAAUAAAUGACGGUACCAUUUAUAAGCUCCGGCUAACUACGUGCCAGCAGCCGCGGUAAUACGUAGGGAGCAAGCGUUGUUCGGAUUUACUGGGCGUAAAGGGCGCGUAGGCGGCGCGGUAAGUCACUUGUGAAAUCUCUGAGCUUAACUCAGAACGGCCAAGUGAUACUGCUGCGCUAGAGUGCGGAAGAGGCAACCGGAAUUCUUGGUGUAGCGGUGAAAUGCGUAGAUAUCAAGAGGAACACCUGAGGCGAAGGCGGGUUGCUGGGCCGACACUGACGCUGAUGCGCGAAAGCCAGGGGAGCAAACG
rnacentral:rRNA from 1 species